UUAGGUUUAUACCAAGGGAGAAAUUGCUGGACCAUAUGGGAUAUUUGUAACCCGCACGGACCUUGGGGACUGAACAAAGAGGGCAAACGCUGGAAUGAAAAAGACAAAGACUAUGAACAGAAGACAGAGACAAAACAACAUUAUUCCAAGAACUACAUAUAAGAUGUUAAUGUGGUGCCUUACAUAGAUAAUGCCACUGAGGAAGAGGCAGGCUAAAGAUUAUAUGCCAUGUGCAAAUAAGAAUGUAUAUUCUGGGAAGUGGUUCCAAGAUGGCCGAAUAGGAACAGCUCCAGUCUACAGCUCCCAGUGUGAGCAACACAGAAGAUGGGUGACUUCUGCAUUUCCAACUGAGGUAUCAGGUUCAUCUCACUGGGGUUCAUCGGACAGUGGGGGUAGGACAGUGGGUGCAGACCACUGAGCAUGAGCUAAAGCAGGGCAAGGCAUUGACUCACCCAGGAAGUGCAAGGG
rnacentral:lncRNA from 10 species